AUAAGUAAGCGGAGGAAAAGAAACUAAAUAGGAUUCUCUUAGUAAUGGCGAAUGAACUGGGAUGAGCUCACCAUGGGAAUCGGGGUCUUCGACCUUGAAUUGUAGUCUUGAGACGCACCGCCAACAGAGGCGCAGGUGUAAGCCUCUUGGAAGAGAGCAUCGCGGAGGGUGAGAGUCCCGUCUGUCACCUGCAGUCCCCUGUGUACGGCAUGCGUUCUGAGAGUCACGUUCCUCGGGAUUGGAGCGCAAAUUGGGUGGUAAGUUUCACCUUAAGCUAAAUAUUGGUCCGAGACCGAUAGCAAACAAGUACCAUGAGGGAAAGGUGAAAAGGACUUUGAAAAGAGAGUUAAAAGUGCUUGAAAUUGCUGAAAGGGAAGCGAAUGGAACCAGUUCUGCUGGGCGAGAUUGUCGCAUGCCAAGGCCCUGUGCCGGCCGCAUGCGGUGCUUCUUGCCUUGUGUGUCAGCUGCGGUCCGAAGUUGGGGAAAACUCUGGGGACAUGGAUGCCAACCUCCGGGGGGGUGAAUGUGCCUGGCAAGACCCGUCCUUGGACUGUGAGCAGUGCUUCGGCAUGUUUGCGGUGCUGACGAAAUGCUUCUAUUCGACCCGUCUUGAAACACGGACCGAGGAGUCUAACAUGUGUGCGAGCUCACGGGUGUCAAACCUGCUUGCGCAAUGAAAGUGACUGCUGGGAUACUUGCACCAGCAACCGAUCUGUCAACUGAGAGAGAUUUGAGUUUGAGCAUACCUGUUAGGACCCGAAAGAUGGUGAACUAUGCUUGUGUAGGGCAAAGCCAGGGGAAACUCUGGUGGAGGCUCGUAGCGAUACUGACGUGCAAAUCGUUCGUCAAAC
rnacentral:rRNA from 1 species